rnacentral:rRNA from 1 species
UACGUAGGGUGCGAGCGUUGUCCGGAAUUAUUGGGCGUAAAGAGCUCGUAGGCGGUGUGUCACGUCGGCCGUGAAAACCUGCAGCUUAACUGUGGGCGUGCGGUCGAUACGGGCAUCACUGGAGUUCGGCAGGGGAGACUGGAAUUCCUGGUGUAGCGGUGAAAUGCGCAGAUAUCGGGAGGAACACCAGUAGCGAAGGCGGCACUCUGGGCCGGUACUGACGCUGAGGAGCGAAAGCGUGGGGAGCGAACAGG